GAUGAACGCUGGCGGCGUGCCUAAUACAUGCAAGUCGAGCGAACGGACGAGAAGCUUGCUUUUCUGAUGUUAGCGGCGGACGGGUGAGUAACACGUGGAUAACCUACCUAUAAGACUGGGAUAACUUCGGGAAACCGGAGCUAAUACCGGAUAAUAUUUUGAACCGCAUGGUUCAAAAGUGAAAGACGGUCUUGCUGUCACUUAUAGAUGGAUCCGCGCUGCAUUAGCUAGUUGGUAAGGUAACGGCUUACCAAGGCAACGAUGCAUAGCCGACCUGAUAGGGUGAUAGGCAAACCUGGACCGGAGACACGGUCCAGCCUCCUACGGGAGGAAGCAGUAGGAAAUCUGCCGCAAUGGCCGAAAGCCUGACGGAGCAACGCGGCGUGAGUGAUGAGGGCCUUCGGUUCGUAAACCCCUGUUAUUAGGAAAGAACAUAUGUGUAAGUAACUGUGCACAUCUUGCCGGUACCUAAGCAGAAAGCCACGGCUAACUACGU
rnacentral:rRNA from 1 species